rnacentral:rRNA from 1 species
AUGAACGCUGACAGAAUGCUUAACACAUGCAAGUCAACUUGAAUUUGGGUUUUUUAACUUAGAUUUGGGUGGCGGACGGGUGAGUAACGCGUAAAGAACUUGCCUCACAGCUAGGGACAACAUUUGGAAACGAAUGCUAAUACCUGAUAUUAUGAUUAUAAGGCAUCUUAGAAUUAUGAAAGCUAUAUGCGCUGUGAGAGAGCUUUGCGUCCCAUUAGCUAGUUGGAGAGGUAACGGCUCACCAAGGCGAUGAUGGGUAGCCGGCCUGAGAGGGUGAACGGCCACAAGGGGACUGAGACACGGCCCUUACUCCUACGGGAGGCAGCAGUGGGGAAUAUUGGACAAUGGACCAAGAGUCUGAUCCAGCAAUUCUGUGUGCACGAUGACGUUUUUCGGAAUGUAAAGUGCUUUCAGUUGGGAAGAAAAAAAUGACGGUACCAACAGAAGAAGUGACGGCUAAAUACGUG